CGGCAGGCUUAACACAUGCAAGUCGAGGGGUAACAGGGGAGCUUGCUUCCGCUGACGACCGGCGCACGGGUGCGUAACGCGUAUAGAACCUACCUUUUACAGAGGGAUAGCCUUUAGAAAUGAAGAUUAAUACCUCAUAGUAUUGCGAGAUGGCAUCAUUUUGUAAUUAAAGAUUUAUCGGUAAAAGAUGGCUAUGCGUCCUAUUAGCUAGAUGGAGAGGUAACGGCUCCCCAUGGCAAUGAUAGGUAGGGGUCCUGAGAGGGAGAUCCCCCACACUGGUACUGAGACACGGACCAGACUCCUACGGGAGGCAGCAGUGAGGAAUAUUGGGCAAUGGAGGCAACUCUGACCCAGCCAUGCCGCGUGCAGGAAGACUGCCCUAUGGGUUGUAAACUGCUUUUAUACGGGAAGAAACACCGCUACGUGUAGCGGCUUGACGGUACCGUAAGAAUAAGCACCGGCUAACUCCGUGCCAGCAGCCGCGGUAAUACGGAGGGUGCAAGCGUUAUCCGGAAUCAUUGGGUUUAAAGGGUCCGCAGGCGGUCAAUUAAGUCAGAGGUGAAAUCCCAUAGCUUAACUAUGGAACUGCCUUUGAUACUGGUUGACUUGAGUUAUACGGAAGUAGAUAGAAUGUGUAGUGUAGCGGUGAAAUGCAUAGAUAUUACACAGAAUACCGAUUGCGAAGGCAGUCUACUACGUAUAUACUGACGCUCAUGGACG
rnacentral:rRNA from 1 species